AUAUCAAUAAGCGGAGGAAAAGAAACCAACAGGGAUUGCCCUAGUAACGGCGAGUGAAGCGGCAACAGCUCAAAUUUGAAAUCUGGCUUCGGCCCGAGUUGUAAUUUGUAGAGGAUGCUUUUGGCGAGGUGCCUUCUGAGUUCCCUGAAACGGGACGCCAGAGAGGGUGAGAGCCCCGUAUAGUCGGACACCUAGCCUCUGUAAAGCUCCUUCGACGAGUCGAGUAGUUUGGGAAUGCUGCUCAAAAUGGGAGGUAUAUCUCUUCUAAAGCUAAAUAUAGGCCAGAGACCGAUAGCGCACAAGUAGAGUGAUCGAAAGAUGAAAAGCACUUUGAAAAGAGGGUUAAAUAGCACGUGAAAUUGUUGAAAGGGAAGCGCUUGUGACCAGACUUGUGCCGGGCUGAUCAUCCAGUGUUCUCACUGGUGCACUCGACCCGGCUCAGGCCAGCGUCGGUUCUCGCAGGGGGAUAAAAGCUUCGGGAACGUGGCUCCUCCGGGAGUGUUAUAGCCCGUUGCUUAAUACCCUUGCGGGGACCGAGGUUCGCGCUCUGCAAGGACGCUGGCAUAAUGGUCAUCAGCGA
rnacentral:rRNA from 1 species